rnacentral:rRNA from 1 species
ACGGAGAGAUUCAUCGUCAUUCCAUGGCGUACGGGCGUGUUGCUCGAUGUGAUCGGCCUUGUGUCGUGUCGCACGGUACGCGUUCGUCGACGUUCGUGGACGGCGUGCACUUCUCUCUUAGUAAUGCAUCGCGACCCGUUCGAUGUCGGUCUAAGCGCCGUUCGGGAGCCCAAUCGUCCCUCUCGGGGGGCGGCUGGACCGUGACGGACGCCGACCGGCUGUCGGACGGUAUCAAUAAUGAAUCGCGCACGCGUCAUUGACGCGUCCGGCCCGACGCAAGGUAUCGCCGUUAUCGAAUUCCUGCCCAUGUGCGGACUUUGGUGCGGCGCGCCUGUUGUUGCAGCCGUGUUGUCUCGGACUGUGCGCGUAUCUGUCUGCGAUGAUUCUGUUUCGGGCACUCGCAGGACCCGUCUUGAAACACGGACCAAGGAGUCUAGCAUGUGUGCGAGUCAUUGAGAUUGAUAAACUGAAAGGCACAACGAAAGUGAAGGCGCGCGCUUGUCGCGUGCUCAGGGAGGAUGGAGCGUCGGUCUCGAUCGAUCUCUCGCACUCCCGAGGCGUCUCGUUUCCAAUCUGUGAAUGCAGGCGCGCUCUGAGCGCAGAUGCUGGGACCCGAAAGAUGGUGAACUAUGCCUGGUCAGGUCGAAGUCAGGGGAAACCCUGAUGGAGGACCGUAGCGAUUCUGACGUGCAAAUCGAUCGUCGGAACUGGGUAUAGGGGCGAAAGACUAAUCGAACCAUCUAGUAGCUGGUUCCGUCCGAAGUUUCCCUCAGGAUAGCUGGCGUCGAUUCGAACAGUCUCAUCCGGUAAAGCGAAUGAUUAGAGGCAUUGGGGCCGAAACGACCUCAACCUAUUCUCAAACUUUAAAUGGGUGAGAACUCCGGCUUACUCGAAUGAUGAAGCCGGAGAUCUGAUGACGGUGCCAAGUGGGCCAAUUUUGGUAAGCAGAACUGGCGCUGUGGGAUGAACCAAACGUAGUGUUAAGGCGCCUAAAAAACGCUCAUGGGACACCAUGAAAGGCGUUGGU